AUUGAACGCUAGCGGGAUGCCUUACACAUGCAAGUCGAACGGAGUGGCGAACGGGUGAGUAAUGUAUCAGAACGUGCCCAGUAGCUGGGGAUAACUACGCGAAAGCGUCGCUAAUACCGCACACUAUUGGUGCGGCCGCGAGCGGUUUAGCUAGGUGGUGGGGUAAUGGCUCACCAAGGCGACGAUCCGUAGCUGGUUUGAGAGGACGACCAGCCACACUGGGACUGAGACACGGCCCAGACUCCUACGGGAGGCAGCAGUGGGGAAUUUUGGACAAUGGGGGAAACCCUGAUCCAGCCAUCCCGCGUGUGCGAUGAAGGCCUUCGGGUUGUAAAGCACUUUUGGCAGGAAAGCGGUACCUGCAGAAUAAGCACCGGCUAACUACGUGCCAGCAGCCGCGGUAAUUC
rnacentral:rRNA from 1 species